rnacentral:lncRNA from 1 species
ACCACUAAAGUUGACAAAUGUUUGUGUCACACAAUCAAAAUACCCAAAAUUAAAAUUUUGGGGCAUUACAAGAAGAAUUGUCAAAUGACAGAAAAAAGCAAAGAAAGAGGAAGAACUAACGUUAGAUUUUUUUUGAGAGAGAGAAAAUCAAAUUUUUGAAAAAACAAAAACAAAAAUAAAAUCUAAUAACUCCAAAUAUCCCAACUCCCACUAUCUUCUUAACCACAACUACCCACUCACACAAACUCCCAAUCCCAUCCAAACUCUCUCAGUCAAUUAAGACAAAAAUUAACAUUCACCCUUACACAAGGAUUCGAACAUAGGACCUCCAACACGC